rnacentral:rRNA from 1 species
UAACAAGGAUUCCCCUAGUAACUGCGAGUGAAGCGGGAAAAGCUCAAAUUUAAAAUCUGGUGGCUUCGCCGCCCGAGUUGUAAUCUGGAGAAGUGCUUUCCGUGCUGGACCGUGUACAAGUCUCUUGGAACAGAGCGUCAUAGAGGGUGAGAAUCCCGUCUUUGACACGGACUACCAGUGCUUUGUGAUGCGCUCUCAAAGAGUCGAGUUGUUUGGGAAUGCAGCUCAAAAUGGGUGGUAAAUUCCAUCUAAAGCUAAAUAUUGGCGAGAGACCGAUAGCGAACAAGUACCGUGAGGGAAAGAUGAAAAGAACUUUGGAAAGAGAGUUAAACAGUACGUGAAAUUGCUGAAAGGGAAACACUUGAAGUCAGUCGCGUCGGCCAGGACUCAACCUUGCUCUGGCAUGGUGUAUUUUCUGGUUGACGGGUCAGCAUCAGUUUUGAUUGUCGGACAAUGGUCAAGGGAAUGUGGCAUCCUCGGAUGUGUUAUAGCCUUUGGUCGCAUGCGAUGGUCGGGACUGAGGAUCUUGGCACCUUGUGCUUGGGAUGCUGGCAUAAUGGCUUUAAAUGAC